GAUGAACGCUGGCGGCGUGCCUAAUACAUGCAAGUCGAGCGAACAGAUAAGGAGCUUGCUCCUUUGACGUUAGCGGCGGACGGGUGAGUAACACGUGGGUAACCUACCUAUAAGACUGGUAUAACUCCGGGAAACCGGGGCUAAUGCCGGAUAACAUUUAGAACCGCAUGGUUCUAAAGUGAAAGAUGGUUUUGCUAUCACUUAUAGAUGGACCCGCGCCGUAUUAGCUAGUUGGUAAGGUAACGGCUUACCAAGGCAACGAUACGUAGCCGACGUGAGAGGGUGAUGGGCCACAGAGGAACUGAGCCGCGACCCAGGGUCGUAGGGGAGGCAGCGAUAGGGAAGCUACCGAGAUGGGCGAAAGCGUGACGGAGCGACGCCACGUGGAUGAAGAAGGUCUUCGGAUGGUAAAACGCUGUUAUUAGGGAAGAACAAAUGUGUAAGUAACGGAGCGCGUGUUAACGGUACCUAUCAGAAAGCCACGGCUAACUACGUG
rnacentral:rRNA from 1 species